AGAGAGUGACGAGAAGACAUGAGAUGAUAGCUAACACUUAUUGAUCGUUUACUAUUUCCUAAGUGCUAUCUUUUUGUUAACCAACCUUUACAACUAUUUAGGUAUCAUUAUUUUACCCAUUUUGCAAAUGAAGACAUUGAGGAACAGAGUGACAAGUACUUCUCCAAAGGUAUCUAGUUAGUAAGCAAGAGAGAGGGGGUCUGGACCCAGGCAGCGUUAUUUUUGUUUGCUUGUUUCUUUUUUGUCAUACAGAUAGGAUUCAAGUUCAGGUUGUCCUGGCCAAAAUUUCCUUCCCAGCCCCCAGUACAUACAACCUCCCAACAGUUUAGGGUGCCAGGUAGCCCAAUGGCAGCCGGUUUGCUUGGAGGCGGCUAGGUUCUUCUUUUCCAUUAGAUAACACAAGGGAAAAGGGAAACCAGUGCUGGGUCCAGGAUCAGCACGCCUGAGACCAUCGUGCUUGAGCUUCCUUUAGGCCAAACAGCACCUGACUGAUGGUGAGCUGUCGGCCAACAGUGGAGGAGCAGAUGGAAAUCAGCUUGAACGCUGGAGGAACAGAAAGGAAAGCCCAUGAGGCUGGGGCUUGUUAAGCCUGCCAGAGAAUGGAAGGUGUGACAGGAGGACACUGGAGCUCAGCACCUGCUCUUCUAAGGAACAUUAUCUUCGGAGAAUCCAGG